GUUUAAAAAAAAUAGAAACGCUUCCCCUUUCACCUUACUUUGUUCCUUUUGUCCUUCUCUGAGCCGUUUCUCUAGGUUUUGAAAAUCCUUUAAAACCUUCCUUCGUUUCUUUUGUAGGAUGUUUUAGGAUUUUGUAGCGAAUGACCUACUCCCUAUUGUUAUUGCUGCUUGCACUUGCCUGAUUCGUAACUUUUGCAGGACUGGGAGGACUAUGAAGGCGGCGCGAGUCAUGGAGAUUCUGGAGGGUCCGAAAUUGACAGAUUUGGGAGAGAUGCUUUCUGCAAUUUUUCAGGGCUCCAUGAAUCCCAUGUGUCGGAGAUGCAUCAGGGCUUUAGAGCCGUUCUACCACCUCUUCAUUUCUAAAGGCGUCGCCGUUCCAUUCACCUCUUCUAGUUUCCCUUCUGUGGUCAUACUGAAAUAAAUUGGAGAGGAAAACAAAGGCUUAUGAAUUGAUUUGGGGUGAAUUGACUUCGAAAAUAAAGUUCUCGCUGAGGAGAAUCAUUCUUCAGAAGAGCGUUGGCAAAGUGAAAUGAGGCUUCAGCCCUCCCCAUGUUCGCGAGCUUGCUUUUGCUGCCAAGAUUCUGUCUAAAAUCGAUGUUACUCUUUGCGGUCGCCGUAUUGGCUUAUCUCUUACUCCAAUAAACGAAAACAGAAAACAAGGGAGAUGCAGUGAACAACAACGACUUAAAAUGGUAGACCUUCAGAAGGCCAUUCGAUCAGCGCUGUGAAUGUGAUUUCUCUCUGGCCGCUAAAAAUAGCUGAUCUAAGGAUGCAAAGUGACUGCAUGGAGAAUGGGGCAGCUCUGUGGUUAGUUCAGUAGAAUCAGCCAAGGCUGAUGGGCUAGAUGCAAUGGCUAGGGUUGGAAUCCUUUGUGAUCUUCAUUGGAGCUUUUUGGUUUUCACCCAAGACCCAGUAGCAUCCAAAAAGAAGAAGCCUCAAACACAGUGAAUGGUUAACCAGUUCUUUGGUGUGAUGAGGCUGCAACUCAUGAUGCUUAUUCCCAAAAGAAGUAUUAGCAGCAACAACAGAAAAAGCAAAAAGGAGGUCUCUCGAAAGCUACCACUUGCGGAGUUAUUCAAUUUCAGAAUCAGAAGUGAAAGAUCUCCGAAACUGAAAUUAAGUUGGGGUAUUCAAAGAACCUGAUGAUUCUAUCCUGAGACAAAGAAUGACUUCAGUCACCAGCUCAGGAAACAAUUAGACUGUGAGGUGAAAAUCAGAAAUGGCGUGAAGAGGACAAAUGCUGGAUUGUGAGGGGAAGUCAUUUUAGGGUCCAAAACCUGAAGUUUAAAAUUAGUAAGCACUAUGGAAUUGUCAAAAGGGAACAUGCAGUACCCCAAGUGACACUUUCGGCUAUCAGAUAAUAAGCUCUCAUUGGUGCGUUACAAGUUUGGAUGUUUGAAUAUAGAUCAACCACAACAUACAUAUUGGUAAAUAAUGUACUGUCAAUAUUUUCUUUACAUAACUGUAAGCCAACAAUCAAGAAGAGCAAGGUACCUAUUAAUGGUGGUGACGAAGCAGUGUCUAUAGUGCAGGAAAUUGAUGAUGACUAUCAAACUGGAGAACUUUUUAGUGAUGCAUGUGAUGAAGACAAUAAUGAUUCUACUACAUCAAGGUUUGAGAGACUUAAGAAUGAAGAUAUGACACAAAGUCUCAUAGACGAAAGGGGUUCUUGGAUCUGCUUCUGUUAGUAUGGGAUGAAAAGCUUGACGUCGAGGACUAAAAACAGAGCGUUUGAUAUGUUGAGGAUGAAAAACAGAAAAAAUAUUUCAAAAGGACUAAAAACCAAAAUAUGGUAUAUUAUAAGGAAAGUCAUUUUUAUAGUACUUCAAAUGUUGUUUACAAAGAAGUUUUUCGCAAUGUCAGAUAAGUAGAUUUUUUACAUCCUUAUUACAAUAUUUAAAUCCAAAUAAUCAAAAUAUUACUUACAUAAUACUACCUCCGGUCCUACGUAUAAGAAGCAAAAAAAAAAGGUAGUUAAACUAGAUAAAAUGCAUUAAAUUUGUCUUGAAUUAAAAUAAACUACCAUUUGUUAUUAGUGUUUGAAUGUGGGAAAGAGAGAGAAUAAUUAAUGAAACACAUUUUACAAGUUUGAAUUAAUAAGGGAUCAUUGGAAAAAAAAUAACUAAUAUAGGAUAAACUUUCAUUUGGUUCUUAUAAAAAAUACCAAGAUUUUUCUUCUUUUUCAUGCUUAUAAAUAGGACUCGAGGUAGUAAUUAAUGUAUACAGACGACGGAGAACAAAAAUAGCAACUAUAGACCCAUCUCCAUGAGAAUAUUGAACUACAAUUUAGUCAGACCAAUUAUUAGUUUUAGUUGCAUUCACAUUGUAAUGAUUUCAACUGAAAACAAAUAAAAAAAUUUCAAGCGCCAAUGAUAAGUUCAUACUCCCUCCGUUCCUUAUUAACUGUCCAUUUUGAAGAAAAAAAUUUGUUCCUAUAUAUCUGUCCACUUAGAGUUUCAAGAGAGCAUUAAUUGAUGUUUUUCCAAGAAAUACCCUUAUAGAAACAAUAAAUGAAGAAAGAUAAAAUACAUUCUAAAGGGUGAUAUAGGAAAAUAAAUAGUACUUUUAUGAAAAUCAACAUAAUUAAUUGAUUUCCUUAAUUUGUAUGAAUCUUCUCUUCCUGGACAGAUAAAUAGGAACGGAGGAAGUAUAUGUUACUUCACCUCUCUGCUUUAAACUAUGAAACUUUAAUAUAUAAAAGCUCUUGUUCAACAAGGCCUCUACAAUGUCCGCAAUGUCUGCGUUCCUCAAAGCUUGCUAUAUUUGGUUUGUGGGUUUGCGUUUCUCCAACAACCAUGGUGGACGCUCUCUUGGUGGUUACGGCAGCCGUUCUCUGCACCCUCGCGCGCAAGAAUGCUGCCCUCGAGGCUUUCCUGACUCAUAUGGCAAUGUACAAAGUGCUGCUCAGCUCUUAGACCGACUCGUGAAGGAUAUUGUGACUGAAAGUGACCAGUUCAGUAUUGAAGAAUCCAUACCAGUGUUGAGGGAGUGCAUGAGUGUAUUGAAUCCAUUUGUUCGCCAGUUUUUGGAAGGAUGGAUUACUGUGUUGGACAGUGUCCCAGAUAUUGAUAUGCUGGGUUUUCUUCCUGAUUUUCUUGACGAUUAUGGUCGAAUGGCUGAAAUUCUGGUCCAGAGGGCAGGUUCUCCAGAUGAAUUUACGAGGUUAACAGCUAUCACAUGGAUAAAUGAGUUUGUCAAAUUUGCAGGAGACCAGCUUGUUCCAUAUUAUGCUGACAUUCUUGGAGCCAUUUGGCCUUGCAUAUCCAAUAAAGAGGAGAAAAUUAGAGUGGUUGCCCGGGAAACCAAUGAAGAGUUACGAGCAAUCAAGGCUGAUCCAGUAGAAGUUUUUGAUGCAGGAGCAAUCCUAUCCAUUACUAGGAGGCAACUGUCUAGUGAAUGGAAAGCCACUCAAAUUGAAGCAUUGCAUUGGAUAUCAACCCUUUUAAGCAUACAUUGUACUGAGGUUUUGACAUACCUUGAUGACAUAUUUGACACCCUACUCAAAGCACUUUCCGAUCCAUCUGAUGAGGUUGUGCUUUGAGUUCUUGAUGUUCAUGCGUGCAUUGCAAGAGAUCCUCAGCACUUCAGACUGCUUGUUGUUUUCCUAGUGCACACUUUUUCGGCUAGAUAAUUCUUCUCUUUUGGAGAAGCGUGGUGCUUUGAUAAUCCGCCGUCUUUGUGUUCUUUUGAAUGCCUAGAGAGUCUACCGGGAAGUUUCGACAAUACUAGAAGGAGAAUCAGAUUUGGAUUUUGGAUCACUUAUGGUUCAGGCUCUGAAUUUGAUCUUACUUACAUCAUCGAACUUAUCUGAGAUUCGAGAUCUUUUGAAGCAAUCACUGGUUAAUCCUGCACGGAAGGACUAGUAUGUGUCUCUGUAUGCCUCUUGGUGUCAUUCUCCAAUGGCAAUUAUAAGUCUUUGCUUUUUAGCACAGACUUACAGGCAUGCAGUGCUGUGAUUCAAUCUCUGGUUGAGGAGGAUAUACAUGUCAAGUUUCUGGUCCAUCCGGAUAAAUUGAUUCGCUUGAUGGAAACUCCAAUCUUUGCUUAUCUUAGAUUACAGAUUUUGUUAUUCCAGAAGGAUGGUUCCAUUUCUUUCCGCCGUUCAUUUAGAUGUUUGUGUAUAGUGGAGCUCUAAACUUUAAUCCUUGGAGAUAGAUGAAAUUUUAAAUGAGGUUAGUCCCUUCCUUAUUUUAUCACAUCUUGUAACUGAGUAGAAACUUGAGUAUUGAAGAAGAAUUAUUCCCAUAAAGUAAAUUAUGUAACUUAUUAUGAAUUAUUACAUGGUAUUUUUUAUUUUUAUAAAUACGUAAAUUAAAAUUAAAAAUAUAUGUAGCUGGUUGGAUUUUAGUUGGUUUUUUGUUGUUGAAAAUUGAAAUAGAAUCAAGAGACCUAUGUGUCGCGCGCUUCUUUCAUUUGUUUGCAUUGCAGUUAAAACAAAAUUAAAACCCACGGCUUGUUACGCAUGAUUGCCUCUUGGCUUCAUCUUUACGCAUUAGGCACAUCAUAAAUACUUGACCACUUCAAUUUUACCCCCAAUUUAAAGAAAUAUAUAGCUAAUGAAGGUGUCGCCAAGAACACAUAAUUGUGCUUGAAAGAAAAUUAUAAAUCACAAAUCACCGAGGUAUCCCAUUAUGGUGAGGUUGCUUGAGGUGAUCAUGGCCCAUGUGAUUUCAGAAAUGCCUAAUUGUGAUUAUUAGAGGGAAAUAUUAAAUCACAGAUCACCGAGGCAUCCAGAUGUAGUGAGGUUGCUAGAGGUGAUCAUGACCCAUUUGAUUUUGGAAACACAUAAUUAUGAUUAGAAGGAAAUUAUAAUUGUGAUUUCUGGGAAAUGAUAAAUCACAGAUCUGAUGCAUCCCAAUAUGCUGACGUUGCUUGAGGUGAUCAUGACCCAUGUGAUUUCCGAAACACGUAAGCGCUUUUAUUUUAGGAAAAUUAUAAAUCACAUAUCACCGAGGCAUCCCAAUAUAGUGAGGUUGCUUUAGGUGAUCAUGACCCAUGUGAUUUCGGAACUACAUAAUUGUCAUUGGAGGGAAAUUAUAAAUCACAGAUUACCGAGGCAUCCCAAUAUAGGGAGGUUGCUUGAGAUUAUCGUGGCCCAUGUGAUUUGGAAACACACUUGUUAUUGGUGGGAAAUUAUAAAUCACAAAUCACCCUAAAAUGGGAAUGAUGAGAGAAUGUUAAUCAUGUAAAUUAUGACCCUUAAGUCUUGACAAUGCUAAUCCUGAUUAUGGACCCUUGUUGCCUUUUGGGUAAUGAUAAUUUGAGGGCUGACCCUUUUGAUGGUAAUCAUCAAUGCGAGUUCGUAAAAUAAGUCCCUAAAACGAGAUGGUAAAUCAUGUAAAUUCCGACCCUUAAGUCUUGAGAAUGCUAAUUCUGAUUAAGGACCCGUGUUGCCUUUUGGGUAAUGAUAAUUUGAGGGCUGACCCUUUUGAUGGUAAUCAUCAAUGCGAGUUCGUAAAAUAAGUCCAUAAAAUGACAUGGUUAAUCAUGUGAACAAUGACCAUGAUGUAGCGAGAAUGCUAUUCUGAUUGUGGACCCUUGUUGCCUUGCGAAUAAUAAUAAUUUGUGGGUAGACAUUUUUGAUGGAAAUCUUCUAUAGGAAUCACUAAAACGAGAUGGUUAAUCUUGUGAACAAUGUACCUAGAGUCGUGAGAAUGCUAAUUGUGAUUAUGGACCCUUGUUGCCUUUCGAAUAAUGAUAAUUUGUGGGCUGACCCUAUUUGACGGAAAUCACCAAUGCUUGCCCCUAAAACGAGACGAUUAAACAUGUAAACAAUGACCCUAAAGUCGCGAGAAUAUCAAUUUCGAUUAUAGACCCUUGUUGCCUUUCGGAUAAUGAUUAUUUGAGGGUCGACCCUUUUGAUGGAAAUCAUUAAAGUGAUUCCCUAAAACGAGAUGGUAUAUCGUGUGAACAAUGACUCUAAAGUCUUGAGAAUGCUAAUUCUGAUUAUGGACCCUUGUUGCCUUUCGGAAAUGAUAAUUUGAGGGUUGACUGUUUUGAUGGAAAUCAUCAGUCCCUACAACGAGAUGGUAAAUCAUGUCAACAAUGACCCUAAAGUCGCGGUAAUUCUAAUUGUGAUUAUGGACCCUUGUUGCCUUUCGGAUAAUGAUAAUUUGAGGGUUGACUCAAAUUUGGUGGCAGAAUAGUUUUCUACCAAGGUACCUUUCCUUGCUGUUCUUUGUCUUGGUCUAUUUCCUUUAUUGUUUUCUUUGAAACCUUGUAUGUGUAUGUCUGACCUUACGAAAUCACGUGAUGUUUUUUUCCUAGGCUUUUGUCCAUUGCAGAAGAGACUUUAGCAGAAUUAAUAUUUAAGGCUACAUUUGGAACCACUGUUGAGCGAGUUCUGAUGCCUGAAAUGAAGGUUGCCGAAAUUCUUUAAUCAUAGGCCUUCUCGGUAAAGCUACUUAGUGUGUAAGAAUGAUGGGGGUGUGCGCUACAAAUCUGGAACAGAUGGUUUUCUAUAUCCUUGAAGCUUGGAAUUAGACAAGCAAGCUCGCUGUGCAUAGAUAACAUUAAAUCUUGUUGAUUUUUGAUUGGGAUUGACGACAUUAGGAUAUUGGAACCAUUGGGUCGAAUAGUUGCCAUUAGACGGUGUUGAAUAAAUUCUUGGUGGGAUGAUGUUCUUCCUUGGAAGUGGUGGCGAUCAGCGGUGGAAGGACAGAAAUUGUGCUUGCUCAGGACGUAACUCACCUGAAACUUUUUCAAAAUAUUUUUUCAUGUACUGAUCUGCGCCAUCCACCAAAGGCUUUGAAAGAGCUACAUUCUGAUUGCUUGAAUCUUUGCAAAAGCCUUUUACGUCGAAAUCGAGUUAUUUCAUGUAAAAUUGAUGGGUCCGAGAGGAGAGAUUGACAUUCAAGGAGUUCUGCCUGCGUGAUGAGUAAAAGAAUGCAGAGGAGGUAGUGCCGGUGUCCUACUCAAGAACGUUCGCCAGUGUGUAAUCAAGAACAUGCUACCGAUGGGAUGUGUAAUCUUUGCAUUCUCCGGUGGGUCUUUGCGUCUUCAGUCAUUAUAACAAAUCAUAUAUUCUCCUUCAUAAUCAUUGACAUUCUCGCGGGGUGUUUUGGAUUAUUGUGGUGAUGGAGACCCUGCUGCUUACAUCAGUUGCCAUGGCAGAGUUUCUGAAAUCCAUUGCUCACCAUUUCAUGUGGCAAUUAGAUCACCUUCAGAAAUUGUGGGUUUGCACUUGCUACUUGGUUUAGAAAUGGAGAUGAUGGUUUCUUAGUAAAUUAAACAAUACAAGCACAUGUUUAUUCCUCAUUAAUUGCUGCUAUAAGCUAGAGUGACCUUGUCAAAUAACAACUUAUCCCAAAAGCUGAAGCUGUUGGUGCCUUGAUUUAUUGUUGUACUAGGUUCGCACCUCAGCAGUUGGCAGAUACACUAUAUGAUUCACCUUAUCACAUGGCUGCAAUGGUAAUUGAAAGUCAAAAGUAUGAGACCAUGGUGCAGGCUGAUUUAUGGAGUGUUGGGGCAAUAUUGUAUCAGCUAGUGAUUGGGAGGCAGCCAUUCAAUAGAAAUAUCAAUUUUGCAGCUUUUUCAAAUUAUUUUGUCAUGUACUGAACUGCACCUUCCACCAAAGGCUUUGAAAGAGCUACAAUCUGAUUGCUUGAAUCUUAGCACAAGCCUUUUACAUCGAAAUCCAGUUAGAGCUCAUUUAGAAAACUUUUCCGAACUUGGACUUCAACGUGCAGAGGAAAGAUUGACAUUGAAGGAGUUCUCCAAUCACAAUUUUCUACGGGAUCUCAGGUGAUAGGUCAGUACUUGGACUUCAACGUGCAGAGGAAAGAUUGACAUUGAAGGAGUUCUCCAAUCACAAUUUUCUACGGGAUCUCAGAUAAUGAUAAUUUGUGGGCCGACUGUUUUGAUGGAAAUUGUUAAAAUAAUGAUAAUUUGAGAGUUGACCCUUUUGAUGGAAAUCAUUACAGUUUGUCCCUAAAACGAGAUGGUGAAUCAUGUGAACAAUGACCCUAAUGUCGUGAGAAUGCUAAUUCGGAUUGUAGACCCUUGUUGCCUUUUGAAUAAUCAUAAUUUGAGGGUUGACUCAAACUUGGUGGCAGACUAGUUUUCUACCAAGGCUCUUGUCCAUUGCAGAAGAGACUUUAGCAGAAUUAAUUUUUAAGGCUACAGUUGGAAUUGCUAUUUAGUGGGUACUGAUGCCUGAAAUGAAGGUAAAGCUACUUAUGCAAGAAUGAUGGGGGUGUGUGCGCUACAAAUCUGGAACAGCUGCUGGGUUGCAUGUGCUUCAAGAAAAGAACCUCAUACAUGAUAUUUAAAACCACAGAUUUACAUUUGUGGGUUUGCACUUGCUACUUGGUUUAGAAAUGGAGAUAACUUACUGUUGGCAACUACUGCAGCUACACCAAUAAUGAAAAUAGGAAAUUUUGGGUUUGCCAGGUGAGCACCACUACCGUUGGCAGAUACACUAUGUGAUUCAGCUUAUUACAUGGUUGGAAUGGUAAUUGAAAGUCAAAAAUAUGAUGCCAAGGUGCAGGCCGAGUUAUGGAGUGUUGGGGCAAUAUUGUAUCAGCUAGUGAUUGGGAGGAAGCUAUUCAAAAGAAAUAUCAAUUUUGCAGUUAGAGCUCAUGUAGAAAAUUUCUCUGAACUUGGACUACAAUGUGCAAAAGAGAGAUUGAUAUUCAAGGAGUUCUCCAAUCACAACCUCCUACGGGGUUCCAGGUCAUAAUUUUCUUCUAUUUUUAUUUCCAAUUCAUGUAUCCAUGUUUCAUUUUUUUUCCCAUGUUAUACCUACUUACUUGUUGCAAUCUCUUAUGUUCUUACCUUACAAGUGAUAGGUUAGUGAUGAAUAUUGAACAGUCGCAGUUACAUCAGUCAGAGAGAUCAAUGGGUCAUCAAGUAGAUGGCUCUGCCUCAUAAGAUGUCUUUGUUAAAUUUAUAGUAUCAGGGUGAGUCAUUUGCAGAUGAUCCAGUGGUAGUCAGCUAAAAUGUCAAAACCAUGCUUUUGCAAUAAAAGGAUGGGAAGAUUACAGUGGGCACUUAGAGUGUUAAAGGGUCUACUACAACUAUUUCAAGUGAUGAGCUGGGGUAUUCUUUUGGCGCUUGCACUCAUUUGUCAAACCAACCUCAGGGUCUAUUACUCUCCGAAUACUGGGGUUGAGCAUGUUUAUUUGACCCGACCCAAACCCGACUUAACCGAGCCAAAAACAGCAUGAAUGGGCGGGUCGGGUCGGAUACAUUAUAACGGGUCAAACCGCCAAGGUUCCAGAUGAGUAGACACGGUCGAGUUCGGGUUGAAUUUUUAAAACCCGUCGAAACCCAACCCGACCCGUAUAUGUAUAGUCUAGAUGUGCAGGUCUAUCUUUGAAUGUGUAUCAUGACUAUCACACACAAUGCCUAGUCUAGCUGUGCAGGACUAGCUUUGAAGGUUGCAAGUGUAUCAUCAUUAUACACUUUUUUUAUUUGUAAAGAUGUUACAAGUCUGAUGCAAAGUCAGAGAUGUCCAUCACUUAUUAAUUUAUUAUACUACUUUUUUACUGGGAAAAGUUAAAGCUUAUGGAAAUUUCAAAGUGUAUUACUCCAUCAAACAAAACUAAAAAACCAGCAAAUGUAAACCCACUCUCAAUACUCUAUCUUCCCACUCUGACACUCUCCUUUACCCAACACAAUGGACCGCAUGGCUUGAUAAUUCGGUUGAAGAUUUCCAUGGCCAAGGCUUCGCCCCACCGCGAACAUCAAUGCAACACUACUUUCUGCUCCAAAACCACCACCUUAACCGCCUCUUCCUCCGCCCAUCUCUCUAACACGCCUCCGUCAAGCCCCAUGCGUUCUUCUCCAACCUCUGCUGGGCCACCAUACACUAGAUCUGAUAGUCACAAACACUGCAAGAUGAAAGCUUUUUCGUGUAAUUGUAGGAUCUGUGCAUGCAUGUGGUGGAUUGCUCAUUCUCUUCGACCGGAGGUUUCCAGAGUUGUGGUUGCUCAUAGUCUUUGUUGGUGACUAAAAGAUGAAGCUAAGGAUUCACUAUUUAGAGUUUGUUGAACAAUUGAUAGUCAAUAAUUUUUCUUUUAUGUACUUUUAUCUUCUCUACAAUAUGUUUUCAAGACUUCUUAUUCUCUGUACUAAGUUCUGUUCUAUGUAAUUCUACUAUAUUUUUUCAACGUUUUUCUAUAAUAAUUCUUCUCUAUUUUUUUAA